rnacentral:rRNA from 1 species
GGUGGAGCGAUUUGUCUGGUUAAUUCCGAUAACGAACGAGACUCUGGCCUAUUAAAUAGGCGAUAUAUUUAAAAGUAUAUCGCGCUUCUUAGAGGGACAAGCGGCGUCUAGCCGCAUGAAAUAGAGCAGUAACAGGUCUGUGAUGCCCUUAGAUGUCCGGGGCUGCACGCGCGCCACACUGGCAAAAUCAACGUGCUUGUCCUUCCCCGAAAGGGGCGGGUAAACCAUUGAAAAUUUGCCGUGAUUGGGAUCGGAAAUUGCAAUUAUUUUCCGUGAACGAGGAAUUCCAAGUAAGUGCGAGUCAUCAGCUCGCGUUGAAUACGUCCCUGCCCUUUGUAC